UUAGGGAGAAAUAGGAGAGAAGAGGAGAGGAGGAUGAGAGAAGAGAAGCCCUAAAAUGUAUAAAAAAAAAAGUUAACGUUGAAUGAGGCACGCCUCGCCUAGGCGCUUGCCUCUUGGAAUUGCCCCACCUUGCCUAGCCUCGUGACUCUUGGCGCCUUUAAUAACAUUGAUUCAAUAUGCACAAGAACAUGCUCACACAGCCACAUCAUUGAGUACACUUUCAGGAGUUGCUGUGUCCAGAACCUUUGUCCACACAAACAUGUCAAAACACAACAACCCUUUGCACGUACACUAAUAACUAGAAAACUAUUAACAAUUAUUUAGACUCUACAUCAGGUACGAGAUUUUUUUUUCCUUUUGAAAAACCAAUAAGAGUUAUCAACACAACAAGUGUGUGAUAAUGAAUGCAUGAAGCAUCACAAAAUCUUUCAAACAAUAACAGAAACAUUUAGCUAAUGAAAUAAAAGGAAACAGAAAUACAACUUACCCUUCUAAUUUCUGCAGCUGAAACACGAGUCAUAUGUGGAGGAAGUUCCUCCCUCUCCAAAUCCUAAUGUAGAACAAUAAAAAGUUUUAAAAUAAUACUAAGAAACAUGAAACUAAAGCAAUACAAUUACAACAAUCCAACAAAUCAAUCACUUCAUACCAGCUCUCCAA
rnacentral:misc_RNA from 1 species